rnacentral:rRNA from 1 species
ACCCCGGGAGGGGAGUGAAAGAGAACCUGAAACCAUAUGCCUACAAGAAGUCAGAGCCCGUUAAAGGGUGAUGGCGUGCCUUUUGUAGAAUGAACCGGCGAGUUACUGUAUGGAGCGAGGUUAAGCAGGAUAUGCGGAGCCGAAGCGAAAGCGAGUCUUAAGAGGGCGCGAGUUGCAUGCAGUAGACCCGAAACCGGGUGAUCUAGCCAUGACCAGGUUGAAGUUGGGGUAAAACCCGAUGGAGGACCGAACCGACCCCCGUUGAAACGUUGGCGGAUGAGUUGUGGCUAGGGGUGAAAUUCCAAUCGAACCCGGAGAUAGCUGGUUCUCCCCGAAAUAGCUUUAGGGCUAGCGUCGAGAGAAGAGUUGCGUGAAGGUAGAGCACUGAAUAUGUGAUGGCCCCAUCUCGGGGUACUGAGCAUAAUCAAACUGCGAAUGUCACGCCAACAUGCUCGGCAGUCAGACAGCGGGUGAUAAGGUCCGUUGUCAAGAGGGAAACAGCCCAGACCAUCAGCUAAGGUCCCAAAAUGUAUGCUAAGUGGAAAAGGAUGUGGAGAUGUACAGACAACUAGGAGGUUGGCUCAGAAGCAGCCAUCCUUUAAAGAGUGCGUAACAGCUCACUAGUCGAAUGACUCUGCGCCGAUAAUUUACCGGGGCUAAGCAUACUACCGAAGCUAUGGAUCCCAAGGGAUGGUAGGGGAGCGUUCCAUGAACGGAGAAGUACGACCGAAAGGACGUGUGGAGAUCAUGGAAGAGAGAAUGCCGGUGUGAGUAGCGGAACGUGGGUGAGAAUCCCACGCACCGAAAACCCAAGGUUUCCAGAGGAAGGUUCGUCCGCUCUGGGUAAGUCGGGACCUAAGGCGAGGCCGAAAGGCGUAGUCGAUGGACAACAGGUAGAGAUUCCUGUACCCGUAUAUAUGUGAAGGAAUGACGGAGAGAGGAAGCUGCAGCCAGCGGCUGGAAGAGCUGGUGCAAGCGAGAUAUCGGGAUGGCAGGCAAAUCCACCAUCCGAAACGAGAAGGCGUGAAGCGUACGGAAAGCUACGGCGAGUACGGAAGGCAGUGGAGGAACUUCCAAGAAAAGUUUCUAACGUUAAGUAUAUAUGGCCCGUACCGAAAAUGGACACACAUGGGUGAGGAGAGAAUCCUAAGGUGAGCGAGAGAACUAUAGCUAAGGAACUCUGCAAAAUGACUCCGUAACUUAGGGAGAAGGAGUGCUCAUAGAGAUAUGAGCCGCAGUGAAACGGCCCAAGCGACUGUUUACCAAAAACACAGCUCUCUGCUAAGCCGCAAGGCGAAGUAUAGGGGGUGACGCCUGCCCGGUGCUGGAAGGUUAAGGGGAGGGGUUAACGCAAGUGAAGCCCUGAACUGAAGCCCCAGUAAACGGCGGCCGUAACUAUAACGGUCCUAAGGUAGCGAAAUUCCUUGUCAGGUAAGUUCUGACCCGCACGAAAGGCGUAACGAUUUGGGCGCUGUCUCAGCUGUAGACUCGGUGAAGUCUUAGUACCUGUGAAGAUGCAGGUUACCCGCGACUAGACGGAAAGACCCCAUGGAGCUUCACUGCAGGUUGAUAUUGGGAUUUGAUGCAGCAUGUACAGGAUAGGUAGGAGGCAAAGAGAUGGAUACGCCAGUAUUCAAGGAGCCGCUGUUGGGAUACUACCCCUGUUGUAUUGGAUUUCUAACCGGACGACGUAGAGCCGUUGACGGGACAGUGUCAGUCGGGCAGUUUGACUGGGGCGGUCGCCUCCCAAAGAGUAACGGAGGCGCCCAAAGAUACCCUCAGCUUGGAUGGAAACCAAGCGCAGAGUGCAAAGGCAAAAGGGUGUUUGACUGCGAGACCCACAAGUCGAGCAGGGACGAAAGUCGGGCUUAGUGAUCCGGCGG